rnacentral:piRNA from 1 species
UUGCAAGCCCAAGCUACCUACCUGUUCC